rnacentral:rRNA from 1 species
UACGUAGGGGGCAAGCGUUGUCCGGAUUUAUUGGGCGUAAGAGCGUGUAGGCGGCCAUGUAGGUCCGUUGUGAAAACUCGAGGCUCAACCUCGAGACGCCGAUGGAAACCAUGUGGCUAGAGUCCGGAAGAGGAGAGUGGAAUUCCGUGGUGUAGCGGUGAAAUGCGCAGAUAUCAGGAAGAACACCCGUGGCUAAGGCGGCUCUCUAGUACGGUACUGACGCUGAGACGCGAAAGCGUGGGGAGCGAACAGG